UUUCAAGAUCCAAGUAAUCCAAGGACAUCUUGGUUUUUCUUGUUGACUGCUUGAAUGAAGCUCCGAUUGUACCUGAAGUAGGAGGGAAUCUAUUAAUCGAAGAAGGCCCCUCCAAGAAGCUCCGAUUGUAACUGAAACUAGAGGGAAUCAAUUAAUCCAGGUUAAACAGUCUUUCUUUUUGUUAUUGAUCCUAAGAAUAGGUUUGGAAGGAGGGAGGGGAUAGGAGAAGGGGGAUGGUGAUUAUCUUUUCUAUCCUGUGUGGAUGUGUUUUUUAGGAAGGUGAGAAGAUAUGAGGGGAGACUGAGGGGAUAGGUUUGGAAGAUAUGGCGAAAGUGGCUAAUUGCAAAAUUUUGAGAUCUCAGGUAUAAAUGUUGCGAGUUGGAAAAACUGAGGUGGUUUUUUGCAAACCAGCAAAAGCUGAGGUAUUGAAUUUUCAACUAACCGAAUUUGGCCAUCAAGGCUGUAUUGACUUCCUUUUUCUGGAUUGCUCUUAUUAGGAGGCUUCAGUGUUGGAUCCUUUGGACAGCUCUCGUGGCUCUUUACUGUGGAAUAUUUGUUUUCUUGAGCUUCUCAGGACUGGGAAAUUUGUGCUGUUUCCAACUUUUUCAACAGCAUUGGUAGUGUUGUUGUGAACAAGAUGCUUUGGAUGCAUUAUGGGAUUAAGAAGUUCACUGUUUGAUCUUUGUACAAGGUUUUUUCAUGUCAGAACCAUAUUCCUUUACCUUGGAAGUGCAUAUGGAUGACAGGACUAGACUUGCAUGGGUGAUGCCUAGGAGGUUGUGGAUCUUUUUGCUUAUUGAAGAGGCUUUCAAGGCAACCUCCUGAUGGCUGGUGCUUGGAGAAUGAUUCCUUUAUGUCUCAUGUGGUGCAUUUGACUUGAAAUGAAUGGACAGUUGGGAGCGCUCCUUGGAUGAGCUUAGAAAUUCCUUUUUCCACACAUUAUUUCUUUCGGCAUCUGCUAUUAUUCAAUGGAGCCAGCUUCCAUGAAUUUCUUUUAUCAAUUUCUAACUCCUUACCAGUAACUAGGUGUUCUCUUUUAACUUAUAAAAAAAACUAGGUGUUCUCUUUUGUGUACUUCUUUUUGUACUUUGGCUACACUUAUUUAUUUGAUUCGAUAAAACUUUAUUUUACCUAUAAAUAAAUAUAAUUUGGAAGCAUAUAACUUUGUUCUUGUGAAUUUGCAUCAUCCUCUCAUAACUAACAAAUUUUGGAAGCUUGAAGGUCUCAUCACAUAUGAAUUGCAUCGCCCCUUAUUCCCGUGGACUUUUUUUUUGUAUUGAUAAAAAUAUUAUUUAUACCCGGUAUUUUAGUGAUAGUAGACAUAUAAAACGAUAGUCCACUGACAAGUUCUUUAUAUUAUAUUUUAGUGAGGCUAUGAUAAAAUAGAAAAUUCAGAAAUCACUAACUUCAUCUUAUCUGAGUUCAGCACAGCGAACUGACCAAAAAAGUCCAAUACAUAAAAUAGAAAUGAAGAAAAUCCUUGACGCUAAACUGAUUAUUAAUAGGGUUCUUUACUUGACAUAAAAAAUAUACAUCAGUUCAACAUAUAAGUCUGAGUCUGCUAUAAAAAAAUAACUUGAAAAUAGAGACAUGACUAACUCCAUUUGCUUGAUGAUAUUGCAAGAAAAACAGAUUCUUGGUGAUGGGUUUCUCAGUUUUUUAUUUAUUGAAAUUACCAAGAUGUCCCUGUAUCGUAACACAAAGAUCUA